UACGUAGGGGGCAAGCGUUAUCCGGAUUUACUGGGUGUAAAGGGAGCGUAGGUGGAUUGUUAAGUCAGUUGUGAAAGUUUGCGGCUCAACCGUAAAAUUGCAGUUGAAACUGGCAGUCUUGAGUACCGGAGAGGUCAUCGGAAUUCCUUGUGUAGCGGUGAAAUGCGUAGAUAUAAGGAAGAACACCAGUGGCGAAGGCGGAUGACUGGACGGCAACUGACGGUGAGGCGCGAAAGCGUGGGGAGCAAACAGG
rnacentral:rRNA from 1 species